rnacentral:rRNA from 1 species
AGUCGAACGGGACACUGUGAGUAGCAAUACAGCAGUGUCUAGUGGCGAACGGGUGCGUAACACGUGGAUACAUUCCGGGAAGCGGGGGAUAGCCCAGGGAAACUUGGAUUAAUACCGCAUGUGAUCGAGAGAUCAAAGACGGGGACCGCAAGGCCUGUCACUUCCCGAUUGGUCCGCGGCCUAUCAGCUAGUUGGCGGGGUAACAGCCCACCAAGGCUACGACGGGUAGCUGGUCUUAGAGGACGACCAGCCACACUGGAACUGAGACACGGUCCAGACACCUACGGGUGGCAGCAGUCGAGAAUCUUUCACAAUGGGGGCAACCCUGAUGGAGCGACGCCGCGUGGAGGAUAAGGUCUUCGGAUUGUAAACUCCUGUCAUGCGCGAACAAGGUUGCAGGGAUAAUACCUUUGCAAAUUGAUGGUACCGCAAGAGGAAGAGACGGCUAACUCUGUGCCAGCAGCCGCGGUAAUACAGAGGUCUCAAGCGUUGUUCGGAAUCACUGGGCGUAAAGGGUGCGUAGGUGGCGUGGUAAGUCAGAUGUGAAAGCCCGGGGCUCAGCCUCGGAAUUGCAUCCGAUACUACCAUGCUAGAGUACUG